UGUUCUGUGGCUUAGUUGGUUGAUGCGCCGGACUAGCGAUACGAAGUCGUGGGUUCGAACCCCAUCACAAAAA
rfam:Aedes albopictus isolate Foshan contig84649, whole genome shotgun sequence.